rnacentral:rRNA from 1 species
UACGUAGGGUGCGAGCGUUGUCCGGAAUUAUUGGGCGUAAAGGGCUCGUAGGCGGUUUGUCGCGUCGGGAGUGAAAACACCGGGCUUAACUCGGUGCUUGCUUUCGAUACGGGCAGACUAGAGGCAUGCAGGGGAGAACGGAAUUCCUGGUGUAGCGGUGAAAUGCGCAGAUAUCAGGAGGAACACCGGUGGCGAAGGCGGCUUUCUGGUCUGCUCUUGACGCUGAGGCGCGAAAGCUAGGGUAGCAAACGGG